CCUACGGGAGGCAGCAGUGAGGAAUAUUGGUCAAUGGACGAGAGUCUGAACCAGCCAAGUAGCGUGAAGGAUGACUGCCCUAUGGGUUGUAAACUUCUUUUAUAAAGGAAUAAAACGAGGCACGUGUGCCUUUUUGCAUGUACUUUAUGGAUAAGGAUCGGCUAACUCCGUGCCAGCAGCCGCGGUAAUACGGAGGAUCCGAGCGUUAUCCGGAUUUAGUGGGUUGAAAGGGAGCGUAGAUGGGUUGUUAAGUCAGUUGUGAAAGUUUGCGGCUCAACCGUAAAAUUGCAAUUGAUACUGGCAGUCUUGAGUACAGUUGAGGUAGGCGGAAUUCGUGGUGUAGCGGUGAAAUGCUUAGAUAUCACGAAGAACCCCGAUUGCGAAGGCAGCUUACUAAACUGUGACUGACAUUGAUGCUCGAAAGUGUGGGUAUCAAACAGGAUUAGAUACCCUUGUAGUC
rnacentral:rRNA from 1 species